UUUAGGACUCGUGCUCAAGAUGCUGCACGAAGCAGACACUUCAUAUGAUAAAGAUGGAUGAAAAUGCAGAAUAUAAAGAUUUUGAAGAGGCUAUAAGGGCUGUUAGGGAUAUUGAAAUUGAAACUAAUUCGCAGUUUGUAGUUGCUCGAAAAACCAAAACCUUUAACACUAAUUAUUUUCCUGACGACCUUCAGAAGCAAAGAAUUUGGUUUUCUGGAAACAAUAACGUGGUUGGACCCGUGAUAGAAAACAUCCCCUUCGUUGUCAUUGGUUCCUGCGAUUUAGCAUGCAUUCAUGGCAAACCAAGGAAGAAAGAGAAACAACAUCAAAAUGAAAAUCUUGAUCAUGAAUAUCAAAGGAAGAAGAAACAUUUUAAAAGAACGAAGAAACAAGGGUGCCCAUGUAAACUUGUUAUUCAAGAAGUAGUUAUAUUCAGAGGUUUUCAGGCACCCUUGUCAAGGAAAAUACGAACAAAUAUUUCGAACAACCAUAAAAGAUCCUAAAAAACCAAGAUCCACUGAGAGACUAUUUGUUCUUCACAAAAGGAAUGUUCAUGAAGACCAUCUCACUGGAAAAAUUGCUGGUGUUACUAGAAAUCUCUCCAAAGAGAUUUCUAAUAAAAUUCACGAAUUGGCGGAGGAGGGCGUCGUGAAAGUUGG